rnacentral:rRNA from 1 species
AGUGAACGCUGGCGGUAGGCCUAACACAUGCAAGUCGAACGGCAGCACAGGAAGAGCUUGCUCUUACGGGUGGCGAGUGGCGGACGGGUGAGGAAUACAUCGGAAUCUACUUUUUCGUGGGGGAUAACGUAGGGAAACUGACGCUAAUACCGCAUACGACCUACGGGAUAAAGCAGCGGAGCUUCGGACCUUUCGCGAUUGAAAGAGCCGAAGCCGGAUUAGCUAGUUGGGGGGGUAAAGGCCCACCAAGGCAACGAUCCGUAGCGGAGCUGAGAGGAUGAUCAGCCACACUGGAACUGAGACACGGUCCAGACUCCUACGGGAGGCAGCAGUGGGGAAUCUUGCGCAAAGGGCGAAAGCCUGAUCCAGCCAUACCGCGUGGGUGAAGAAGGCCUUCGGAUUGUAAAGCCCUUUUGUUAGGAAAGAACAACUGCAUGUUUAUCCCCCGCUGUUCUGACGGUACCCAAUGAGUAAGCCCCGGCUAACUUCGUG